rnacentral:rRNA from 1 species
AUUGAACGCUGGCGGCAGGCCUAACACAUGCAAGUCGAGCGGGGCGGCGGACGGGGGAGUAAUGCCUAGGUCUCUGACUGGUAGUGGGGGAUACCGUCCGGAACCGGGAGCUAAUAUCGCAUACUCUCAGCUGAGCAUGGGUCGGAUUAGCGAGUUGGUGGGGUAAAGGUCUACCAGGGCGACGAUCCGUAACUGGUCUGAGAGGAUGAUCAGUCACACUGGAACUGAGAAAGGGUCCAGACUCCUACGGGAGGCAGCAGUGGGGAAUAUUGGACAAGGGGCGAAAGCCUGAUGCAGCCAUGCCGCGUGUGUGAAGAAGGGCUUCGGAUUGUAAAGCACUUUAAGUGGGGAGGCGUUACCAACAGAAGAAGCACCGGCUAACUUCGUGCCAGCAGCCGCGGUAAUAC